rnacentral:lncRNA from 10 species
GGAAAAGGCCAUGGGCAGCACCAGAUUUUAUAAGCAGGCUAGAGGAGGUGUCUGAUUUGGUAGGGCCCACAGGUGUGACGUUUAUAUAGCUGGGGCUGGUGGUGGGGUCGGGGGGAGGGAAGACUGGCUGCCCCAUCUUAAUCUUAUUAUGCAAAUGAACUCGCCCGUUGACUGGCGCCAUCUUGUCUGCUCCUGACUCUACACGUAGCUGAUAAUGAGAAGGGAAGAUGGGGCUCCCGUUUUGAACAUGAUUGGCACAACUGCCAGCAUCUAUGUCUGCAGCUCGAUUUUAUAGGCUGCUCAUUGUUAGAAAGGAAAAUGAUUUGGAGCUACUUUUCAUUAAAAGGAAAACCUUACUGAGGACUGCUGUACCCUCACUAUCUGCUUAAGUAAUUUCUUCUUUUUUUUUUUUUUUUUGAGACGGAGUCUCCAUGUUAGAGUGCGGUAGCACGAUCUCGGCUCACUGCAACCUCUGCCUCCCGGAUUCAAGAGAUUCUCCUGCCUCAGCCUCCGGAGUAGCUGGGACUACAGGCGCGUACCAACACACCCAGCUAAUUUUUGUAUUUUUAGUAGAGAUGGUGUUCCACCACGCUGGCCAGGAUGGUCUUGAUCCUUGACCUCCUGAUCUGCCUGCCUCGGCAUCUCAAAGUGCUGGGAUUACAGGCGUGAGCCACUGCACCCGGCCAGUAAUUUCUUCUUAACUCCUGUAUCAACAUAUGAUAAAAUAGAGCAUUUUAAAAACAAGUUUUUGAAAAGAUUAAGAAUUUAUAAAAAGCUCUAAGAAGGAAACUUCAAAUACGGAUCUCAAUCACAAGCAAGGGUAAUGAGGACCCAGUGACCAUGAAGAGGCUCCAGAACUUCAUGACCUUCUGUUAUGAAAAGUUACUUAUAGUACUAUCUGUGCUCAACAGAAAAGUGCCUACUGAAGUUUGGCUCAUGGAAAUAAGCCCUAUUGACUGCUGUGGUCUAAACGUUGGUGUCCCCCACCCAAAUUCAUAUGUUGGCACCUAAAAGGAACCAAAUAUGUUCACUCCAACCUCUUGAAUGGAAUUAGUACUUUUAUAAAAGGGGCCUGAGAGAGCUCCCUUGCCCCUUCCAUCAUGUGAGGAUGCAGCAGCAAGAUGCCAUCUAUGGAGCAGACAGCAAGCCCUUACCAUACACUCAAUCUGCCAGUGCCUUGAUCUUGGACUUCACAGCCUCCAGAACUGUGAGCAAUAAAUAUCUGUUGUUUAUUUACCCAGCUUAAUGUAUUUUGUUGUAGUAAUCUGAAUGGGCUAAGAUACCCUAUUUUACCAAUACUCUGAGAAUUAAAUAAAAGAAUAAAUGCAGAAUUACUUAAAAAUACAAAUAAACACUUAGAAGCAAGCCAUUAUUAGUA